CUUUCUCUUUAAAGAAAAUAUUGCCCUAACUAGUUUGACUCAGUGGAUAGAGCAUCGGCCUGUGGACUCAAGGGUCCCAGGUUCGAUUCCAGUCAAGGGCAUGCACCUUGCUUGUGGGCACGUACCUAGUAGGGAGUGUUUUGGAGGCAGCUGAUCAAUGUUUCUCUUUCAUCAAUGUUUCUAGCUCUCUAUCCCUCUCUCUUCUUCUUUGUAAAAAAAUCAACAAAAAAUAUUU